rnacentral:rRNA from 1 species
AACGAACGCUGGCGGCAGGCUUAACACAUGCAAGUCGAACGCAUCCUUCGGGGUGAGUGGCAGACGGGUGAGUAACGCGUGGGAACGUGCCCUUCAGUUCGGGAUAACCCAGGGAAACUUGGGCUAAUACCGGAUACGUGCGAGAGCAGAAAGAUCUAUCGCUGAAGGAUCGGCCCGCGUCUGAUUAGCUAGUUGGUGGGGUAAUGGCCCACCAAGGCGACGAUCAGUAGCUGGUCUGAGAGGAUGAUCAGCAACAUUGGGACUGAGACACGGCCCAAACUCCUACGGGAGGCAGCAGUGGGGAAUAUUGGACAAUGGGCGCAAGCCUGAUCCAGCCAUGCCGCGUGAGUGAUGAAGGCCUUAGGGUUGUAAAGCCCUUUCGUCCGGGACGAUAAUGACGGUACCGGAAGAAGAAGCCCCGGCUAACUUCGUGCCAGCCGCCGCAGUAA